CAUAUAUUUCACAAAUCUUUGGACAAUUUUUAAUGUUGUAAAAAAAACAUCUCAUCGUGUUAGAUCGCUUCGAUGUAUACUGGACAAGUAUUAUUAGUUAAGCACACCCUCAAAUACCUGCUAAACAGCGUUCUUUUGCCUAUGGUAGUCGUGUGUAUAUGAUUUUGAAAAGACGGAUCCGAUCAGGACCACUGUCAUUGAAAAGCGUUAGCGUUAAAGAUUUGAACCUAUUGUGUAUAUAGUAGAUGUCUAAACACUAAAAUCAUCCUCAUAACAGAAUUGCGUCUAGUUAAGCUACAAAAUGGUGCCAGUGAUGAUAUUUGAAUUAGUUUUAAUUGGAAUAUCAAAACCUACGUUUUAUUGAUUAAAACACUAUCCAUAAUAAAAUUCCAAGGCUGAGGACACGAACGUUUUUUCACAUUCUGCUUUGCUGUUAAGAAGAUAUUUUAUUAUCGGAGCAUACAAGUAAUGGCAUACAACCAUUUAUAUAUUUUAUAGCAAGGCAGAACAACGGAGAUUAUAACUAGAUACUAUGCA